rnacentral:rRNA from 1 species
GAGUGGGAUGACGUCAAAUCAUCAUGCCCUUAUGUUCUGGGCUACACACGUGCUACAAUGGCCGGUACAGACGGACGCAAAGCCGCGAGGUGGAGCAAAAUCCUAAAAAGCCGGUCUCAGUUCGGAUUGCAGGCUGCAAUUCGCCUGCAUGAAGUCGGAAUCGCUAGUAAUCGCAGGUCAGCAUACUGCGGUGAAUACGUUCCCGGGCCUU